rnacentral:rRNA from 1 species
GAUGAACGCUGGCGGCGUGCCUAAUACAUGCAAGUCGAGCGAACGGACGAGAAGCUUGCUUCUCUGAUGUUAGCGGCGGACGGGUGAGUAACACGUGGAUAACCUACCUAUAAGACUGGGAUAACUUCGGGAAACCGUAGCUAAUACCGGAUAAUAUUUUGAACCGCAUGGUUCAAAAGUGAAAGACGGUCUUGCUGUCACUUAUAGAUGGAUCCGCGCUGCAUUAGCUAGUUGGUAAGGUAACGGCUUACCAAGGCAACGAUGCAUAGCCGACCUGAGAGGGUGAUCGGCAACACUGGAACUGAGACACGGUCCAGACUCCUACGGGAGGCAGCAGUAGGGAAUCUUCCGCAAUGGGCGAAAGCCUGACGGAGCAACGCCGCGUGAGUGAUGAAGGUCUUCGGAUCGUAAAACUCUGUUAUUAGGGAAGAACAUAUGUGUAAGUAACUGUGCACAUCUUGACGGUACCUAAUCAGAAAGCCACGGCUAACUACGUG